UCCGAGUUGACCCCGGCAGUCUCUCACGAGUCCCCGCCAUUACGCGCUGGCAACAUAAGAUAAGGGUUGCGCUCGUUGCGGGACUUAACCCAACAUCUCACGACACGAGCUGACGACAGCCAUUCAGCACCUGUCACCGACCAAUUGAAGAGCUCCGUCUCCGGAGCCCCGAUCGGGAAGUCAAGGGCUGGUAAGGUUCUUCGCGUUGCCUCGAAUUAAACCACAUGCUCCACCGCUUGUGCGGGUCCCCGUCAAUUCCUUUGAGUUUUAAUCUUGCGACCGUACUCCCCAGGCGGGGUGCUUAAUGCGUUAGCUGCGCCACCAAGAAGCAAGCUUCCUGACGGCUAGCACCCAUAGUUUACGGCGUGGACUAC
rnacentral:misc_RNA from 1 species